CCACGGCGCAGUGCACCAGGAUCUUCCCUGCGAGGACAGACACACGAGGCGGCCGUGGGACCAUAUGUGGUGGGCUGGAGGCGGCGAGGGCUACAGAGUUGGGUGAGGAGGGAGACGGGGAAGCGGGGUGCAGACUGCGGGUGG
rnacentral:miRNA from 1 species